UGGUGAAAUGGCUGCAUGAGAGCGGAGGACAAGAAGGUGCAGAUUGUGGCAGUCACUUCAAAUGGAAAUAUCACCGCUUGAAUGAAGAGAGGUGCAACGGAAGCCAGAACAUUCCUCCUGGAAAUUCAACCUGUUUCGCAAUUUCUCGAGGAAUCAGCAUUCAGUCAAUCCGGGCCGGGAGCAGUCAUCUGUGGUGAGGCUGAUUGGCUGGGCAGGAACAGCGCCGGGGCGUGGGCUGAGCACAGCCGCUUCGCUCUCUUUGCCACAGGAAGCCUGAGCUCAUUCGAGCAGCGGCUCUUCCAAGCUCAAAGAAGCAGAGGCCGCUGUUCGUUUCCUUUAGGUCUUUCCACUAAAGUCGGAGUAUCUUCUUCCAAAAUUUCACGUCUUGGUGGCCGUUCCAAGGAGCGCGAGGUCGGGAUGGAUCUUGAAGGGGACCGCAAUGGAGGAGCAAAGAAGAAGAACUUUUUUAAACUGAACAAUAAAAGUGAAAAAGAUAAGAAGGAAAAGAAACCAACUGUCAGUGUAUUUUCAAUGUUUCGCUAUUCAAAUUGGCUUGACAAGUUGUAUAUGGUGGUGGGAACUUUGGCUGCCAUCAUCCAUGGGGCUGGACUUCCUCUCAUGAUGCUGGUGUUUGGAGAAAUGACAGAUAUCUUUGCAAAUGCAGGAAAUUUAGAAGAUCUGAUGUCAAACAUCACUAAUAGAAGUGAUAUCAAUGAUACAGGGUUCUUCAUGAAUCUGGAGGAAGACAUGACCAGGUAUGCCUAUUAUUACAGUGGAAUUGGUGCUGGGGUGCUGGUUGCUGCUUACAUUCAGGUUUCAUUUUGGUGCCUGGCAGCUGGAAGACAAAUACACAAAAUUAGAAAACAGUUUUUUCAUGCUAUAAUGCGACAGGAGAUAGGCUGGUUUGAUGUGCACGAUGUUGGGGAGCUUAACACCCGACUUACAGAUGAUGUCUCCAAGAUUAAUGAAGGAAUUGGUGACAAAAUUGGAAUGUUCUUUCAGUCAAUGGCAACAUUUUUCACUGGGUUUAUAGUAGGAUUUACACGUGGUUGGAAGCUAACCCUUGUGAUUUUGGCCAUCAGUCCUGUUCUUGGACUGUCAGCUGCUGUCUGGGCAAAGAUACUGUCUUCAUUUACUGAUAAAGAACUCUUAGCUUAUGCAAAAGCUGGAGCAGUAGCUGAAGAGGUCUUGGCAGCAAUUAGAACUGUGAUUGCAUUUGGAGGACAAAAGAAAGAACUUGAAAGGUACAACAAAAAUUUAGAAGAAGCUAAAAGAAUUGGGAUAAAGAAAGCUAUUACAGCCAAUAUUUCUAUAGGUGCUGCUUUCCUGCUGAUCUAUGCAUCUUAUGCUCUGGCCUUCUGGUAUGGGACCACCUUGGUCCUGUCAGGGGAAUAUUCUAUUGGACAAGUACUCACUGUAUUCUUUUCUGUAUUAAUUGGGGCUUUUAGUGUUGGACAGGCAUCUCCAAGCAUUGAAGCAUUUGCAAAUGCAAGAGGAGCAGCUUAUGAAAUCUUCAAGAUAAUUGAUAAUAAGCCAAGUAUUGACAGCUAUUCGAAGAGUGGGCACAAACCAGAUAAUAUUAAGGGAAAUUUGGAAUUCAGAAAUGUUCACUUCAGUUACCCAUCUCGAAAACAAGUUAAGAUCUUGAAGGGCCUGAACCUGAAGGUGCAGAGUGGGCAGACGGUGGCCCUGGUUGGAAACAGUGGCUGUGGGAAGAGCACAACAGUCCAGCUGAUGCAGAGGCUCUAUGACCCCACAGAGGGGAUGGUCAGUGUUGAUGGACAGGAUAUUAGGACCAUAAACGUAAGGUUUCUACGGGAAAUCAUUGGUGUGGUGAGUCAGGAACCUGUAUUGUUUGCCACCACGAUAGCUGAAAACAUUCGCUAUGGCCGUGAAAAUGUCACCAUGGAUGAGAUUGAGAAAGCUGUCAAGGAAGCCAAUGCCUAUGACUUUAUCAUGAAACUGCCUCAUAAAUUUGACACCCUGGUUGGAGAGAGAGGGGCCCAGUUGAGUGGUGGGCAGAAGCAGAGGAUCGCCAUUGCACGUGCCCUGGUUCGCAACCCCAAGAUCCUCCUGCUGGAUGAGGCCACGUCAGCCUUGGACACAGAAAGCGAAGCAGUGGUUCAGGUGGCUCUGGAUAAGGCCAGAAAAGGUCGGACCACCAUUGUGAUAGCUCAUCGUUUGUCUACAGUUCGUAAUGCUGACGUCAUCGCUGGUUUCGAUGAUGGAGUCAUUGUGGAGAAAGGAAAUCAUGAUGAACUCAUGAAAGAGAAAGGCAUUUACUUCAAACUUGUCACAAUGCAGACAGCAGGAAAUGAAGUUGAAUUAGAAAAUGCAGCUGAUGAAUCCAAAAGUGAAAUUGAUGCCUUGGAAAUGUCUUCAAAUGAUUCAAGAUCCAGUCUAAUAAGAAAAAGAUCAACUCGUAGGAGUGUCCGUGGAUCACAAGCCCAAGACAGAAAGCUUAGUACCAAAGAGGCUCUGGAUGAAAGUAUACCUCCAGUUUCCUUUUGGAGGAUUAUGAAGCUAAAUUUAACUGAAUGGCCUUAUUUUGUUGUUGGUGUAUUUUGUGCCAUUAUAAAUGGAGGCCUGCAACCAGCAUUUGCAAUAAUAUUUUCAAAGAUUAUAGGGGUUUUUACAAGAAUUGAUGAUCCUGAAACAAAACGACAGAAUAGUAACUUGUUUUCACUAUUGUUUCUAGUCCUUGGAAUUAUUUCUUUUAUUACAUUUUUCCUUCAGGGUUUCACAUUUGGCAAAGCUGGAGAGAUCCUCACCAAGCGGCUCCGAUACAUGGUUUUCCGAUCCAUGCUCAGACAGGAUGUGAGUUGGUUUGAUGACCCUAAAAACACCACUGGAGCAUUGACUACGAGGCUCGCCAAUGAUGCUGCUCAAGUUAAAGGGGCUAUAGGUUCCAGGCUUGCUGUAAUUACCCAGAAUAUAGCAAAUCUUGGGACAGGAAUAAUUAUAUCCUUCAUCUAUGGUUGGCAACUAACACUGUUACUCUUAGCAAUUGUACCCAUCAUUGCAAUAGCAGGAGUUGUUGAAAUGAAAAUGUUGUCUGGACAAGCACUGAAAGAUAAGAAAGAACUAGAAGGUGCUGGGAAGAUCGCUUCUGAAGCAAUAGAAAACUUCCGAACCGUUGUUUCUUUGACUCAGGAGCAGAAGUUUGAACAUAUGUAUGCUCAGAGUUUGCAGGUACCAUACAGUGCAGACCUUCUUCCUUUAACACAGUCAUCCCAGUGAAGGCUCUAAUAAGUGGUGUGAACAUAAGCAAGCCCAAGCUUUCUGAGUCUGUUUCUUAUAAUAAAAGGAGAGAGCUGGACCUUAUUGAUGGAUUUUUAAGCUUUUAUUUUAAAAAAAUGAUGGCAGAGCCUUUUUGUCUAAAAAAAAAUUAUUUGAAAUCUUCAUAUGUGAUGAAGAAACUCUUUGAGGAAAGCACACAUCUUUGGAAUUACAUUUUCCUUCACCCAGGCAAUGAUGUAUUUUUCCUAUGCUGGAUGUUUCCGGUUUGGAGCCUACUUGGUGGCACAUAAACUCAUGAGCUUUGAGGAUGUUCUGUUAGUAUUUUCAGCUGUUGUCUUUGGUGCCAUGGCCGUGGGGCAAGUCAGUUCAUUUGCUCCUGACUAUGCCAAAGCCAAAAUAUCAGCAGCCCACAUCAUCAUGAUCAUUGAAAAAACCCCUUUGAUUGACAGCUACAGCACGGAAGGCCUAACGCCGAACACAUUGGAAGGAAAUGUCACAUUUGGUGAAGUUGUAUUCAACUAUCCCACCCGACCGGACAUCCCAGUGCUUCAGGGACUGAGCCUGGAAGUGAAGAAGGGCCAGACGCUGGCUCUGGUGGGCAGCAGUGGCUGUGGGAAGAGCACAGUGGUCCAGCUCCUGGAGCGGUUCUACGACCCCUUGGCAGGGAAAGUGCUGCUUGAUGGCAAAGAAAUAAAGCGACUGAAUGUUCAGUGGCUCCGAGCACACCUGGGCAUCGUGUCCCAGGAGCCCAUCCUGUUUGACUGCAGCAUUGCUGAGAACAUUGCCUAUGGAGACAACAGCCGGGUGGUGUCACAGGAAGAGAUCGUGAGGGCAGCCAAGGAGGCCAACAUACAUGCCUUCAUUGAGUCACUGCCUAAUAAAUAUAGCACUAGAGUAGGAGACAAAGGAACUCAGCUCUCUGGUGGCCAGAAACAACGCAUUGCCAUAGCUCGUGCCCUUGUUAGACAGCCUCAUAUUUUGCUUUUGGAUGAAGCCACAUCAGCUCUGGAUACAGAAAGUGAAAAGGUUGUCCAAGAAGCCCUGGACAAAGCCAGAGAAGGCCGCACCUGCAUUGUGAUUGCUCACCGCCUGUCCACCAUCCAGAAUGCAGACUUAAUAGUGGUGUUUCAGAAUGGCAGAGUCAAGGAGCAUGGCACGCAUCAGCAGCUGCUGGCACAGAAAGGCAUCUAUUUUUCAAUGGUCAGUGUCCAGGCUGGAACAAAGCGCCAGUGAACUCUGACUGUAUGAGACGUUAAAUACUUUUUAAUAUUUGUUUAGAUAUUGCAUUUAUUCAAAGUUAAAAGCAAACACUUACAGAAUUAUGAAGAGGUAUCUGUUUAACAUUUCCUCAAUCAAGUUCAGAGUCUUCAGAGACUUCGUAAUUAAAGGAACAGAGUGAGAGACAUCAUCAAGUGGAGAGAAAUCAUAGUUUAAACUGCUUUAUAAAUUUUAUAACAGAAUUAAAGUAGAUUUUAAAAGAUAAAAUGUGUAAUUUUGUUUAUAUUUUCCCAUUUGUACUGUAACUGACUGCCUUGCUUAAAGAUUAUAGAAGUAGCAAAAAGUAUUGAAAUGUUUGCAUAAAGUGUCUAUAAUAAAACUAAAGUUUCAUAUGACCGGA